rnacentral:rRNA from 1 species
UACGGAGGAUGCAAGCGUUAUCCGGAAUGAUUGGGCGUAAAGGGUCCGCAGGUGGCAGUGUAAGUCUGCUGUCAAAGAAUGAGGCUUAACCUUAUCAAGGCAGUGGAAACUACACAGCUAGAGUACGGUCGGGGUAGAAGGAAUUCCUGGUGUAGCGGUGAAAUGCGUAGAGAUCAGGAAGAACACCGGUGGCGAAAGCGUUCUGCUAGACCUGUACUGACACUGAGGGACGAGAGCUAGGGGAGCGAAUGGG